rnacentral:tRNA from 1 species
GGCCCCGUAGCUCAAUGGCAGAGCAGUUGCCUCUUAAGCAAUUUGUUGAGGGUUCGAGCCCCCCCGGGGUCACCA